ACAUUUGAGACUAUACAUAUUUAUGUAAAUAUUGUAAUAUGCUUUCUCAUUCAACCGAAUAAUAUGGAAUGUCAUUCAUUCACGAUAUCUGAUUACUAAUCUGCAUGUGGAUCCGGUCUGGAAUCAAGUAUAUUACUAAAUAGAAUAUUAUUCAAAUUAAUUUCAGCUAUUAUUUGGUAGGAGACACAUGCAAAAUAUGUAGGAAUGUAACUGUAUUGAAUUGAAUUGAAUAUGAGCCGUAGGAAGUGCAUGAUGCUAAAAAUGGGAGUAAACUGUUCAAAACUCAACUCAUCCAUUAAAUCAGAUGCAUGCAUAUACCUACGCAGAUUUAUCAAAGCACGAAAUAUGUAUACUAAUAUUUAGUAGUAUUUGUUUCGAGAAACUGCAAUUACCUAGCCAAGAAAAGUGUCAGCAAAGUAAUUCCUGUUGAACAAACAAAUUUAAGUCGAACAAGAAUAUCAAGGCAAUCUAGUUAGCAGCAAAGCAUGGACAAGGAAUUAUGCACAAGUUCUUUAAUCGUGUGUAAAAUAUAUCAGCAGAUGUAAAUCAUUAGUUGAGAAGCUACCAAUAUAUACAUUAAACUGCAAAUUUCUUAAAUAAAAUGGAAUAUUCAGACGCCGAGCAUGAGGACGUGUUUCAUGAAUCUUCAAGUUCUGCCUUGGAGGAAGAAAAAAGUGAAAGGAGUGAAAUCUCGUCCAGGAGAAAGUAUUUGGCUAAACAAGUUCGUCAGUUGUCGUCUCGAAUUGAUUCGUUGAGUGAAAAAAUGGACGCUAUGCUAAAAAAAUACAAAUCAGUGCAAACAUCAAGCUGAAAUGUAUUGUAAGAAAAAUGACGAGGAAUCGAGGAGUUAAUACUGACAUUGUUCUAUUCUAAUUAAUGGAUGCAUGUUUACAUUUCUGUAUGUGUAAUUGCAAAUCUAAUAGUCAAUAAUAAUGUUAUUUCCUUGUUUUAAAAUUGA